GCAGCAGGCGCGAAAACUUUACAAUGCUGGCAACAGCGAUAAGGGGACCUCGAGUGCCAGGAUACAAUCUUGGCUGUCGCGAUGCCUAAAAAGCAUUGCAUAGCAAGGGCCGGGCAAGACCGGUGCCAGCCGCCGCGGUAACACCGGCGGCUCGAGUGGUAACCGCUAUUAUUGGGUCUAAAGGGUCUGUAGCCGGCCGGAUAAGUCUUUUGGGAAAUCCAGCUGCUCAACAGUUGGGCUUUCAGAAGAUACUGUUCGGCUCGAGACCGGGAGAGGUGAGAGGUACUUCAGGGGUAGGGGUGAAAUCUUGUAAUCCUUGAAGGACCACCAGUGGCGAAGGCGUCUCACCAGAACGGAUCUGACGGCAAGGGACGAAAGCUAGGGGCACGAACCGGAUUAGAUACCCGGGUAGUCCUAGCCGUAAACGAUACUCGCUAGGUGUCAGCCACGGUGCGACCGUGGUUGGUGCCGUAGGGAAGCCGUGAAGCGAGCCACCUGGGAAGUACGGCCGCAAGGCUGAAACUUAAAGGAAUUGGCGGGGGAGCAC
rnacentral:rRNA from 1 species